rnacentral:snRNA from 1 species
GGCGGGUAGAAUCCUUUGCAGA